UGACUGGUGAGUCCUCUAAGCCGAAAUUAUCCGUUAAACAAAACAGUGUCUUUGUGUCGUAUGAACGAAUCUGCACUAAAACUCAAUUUAGAUUUACAUCGUCAGUUGUCAAAACGAAAGUACGGUUGAUAUUCAAAUGCAUUAUUUUUCUCUUUCCGGGAUAGUGUUUUAGUAUGUUGAUGCUGCAUUAACAAAUAUUUUUUUAAAUUAUAUUCGAUAUUUUACAUGACUGGUGAGUCCUCUAAGCCGAAAUUAUCCGUUAAACAAAACAGUGUCUUUGUGUCGUAUGAACGAAUCUGCACUAAAACUCAAUUUAGAUUUACAUCGUCAGUUGUCAAAACGAAAGUACGGUUGAUAUUCAAAUGCAUUAUUUUUCUCUUUCCGGGAUAGUGUUUUAGUAUGUUGAUGCUGCAUUAACAAAUAUAAGUUUAUAUGAAGUGUCAACACCAAAAAUAAACAACGGUUGCGAUAGACACCUAUAAACUGCUAGAUGCCCAUAAUAUCACUCAAUUUCAAUGAGCUGACGUGUUAUAUACUUCCCUUUUAACGAAUUUGACCACGGCUAGUUUAUAGACACAAACACGAAUUCAAGAUACCGAUUUUAGCUUGAUGCUAUUAAUAUUACUUGGAUUUAAUGUGUCUGUGAGCAAGCACAGAAUAACAUCAGACAAGCCAGCUGGAAGAAUAAAAGCCAGACCAGGUCUCUGUGCAGAGGAUCAUGAAGAUGUCAAGGAAUACAUGACCUUCUUGAGAAGAAGUUUGAUAAGUUAUUAAUACCACACCACUAGCGAACACUAAGCAUCUCUGCUCAAUGCCUGUGAUAUAUUAAGACGAUGAAAUGGAACACUGUGCAAAAGCAACUAUUCCUGUCUAUCCCACUUGCAGAUGUAACAAACCAAGUUGCCAACCAAUAUGGGACUAGUAAAAGCUCAUUGUACAGCUAGUUGCUGUAACAAAUUAACAAUCAUGAGCAGUCUUUGAUAUUGUGAAAUGACAAUGAUAGAUUUUAGAGUAACUAUAGCACACAUGUUGAUAUUAAUGUUUGAAUUAAGAAGACAUUUUACCUCUACCCACUUUAUUAUGCACUUUUAAUAAUUUAUAUUCCAUUCCUCCAUAGCGGCUUAAAAUAAGUGCAUGCAUUUAUUAAUUUUAAAAUGGUUACCAUGGUAACCAAAAAGUUUUAAUUAUUGUCAUAUAACUAAAUCUUUAAUAUUUAUGAUUCCUGAAUGUUUUGUUGUUUGAUAAGUUUUAUGAUAACAAUUUGUAGUAUUAAUUGAACAAUUAUUGAAAAUUGAACAAAACAGAGAUAAGAAUUAUGGGAUCUGUUUUAAAUUUGUUAUAAAUUGUUAUUGUCCUUGGAAAAAUGCAUUUUUAAUAAUGUUGUGUAUAAUUGUUUGCAAAGUUUAUUGUUUAGUAAACAUAAUAAGUUUAGCAAUGUCAUUUUAAAUGAGUUUUUUUCAUUAUGACGCUUGCCGAAUUAGUACCAAAAGUCUCAGAACACGCCACAUACACUUAUUAAAACAUAAUUAUAUGUACCUAACCAAUUAAUUUAUGUGACAAAGUAGUCAAGUCUUUCUUUAUAUUUUCCGAAAUAGUGUUGGUAAAAUUAAAUAAAACUCGUGCAUAUUGAAAA